rnacentral:rRNA from 1 species
AUUGAACGCUGGCGGCCGGCUUAACACAUGCAAGUCGAGAGGGGUGAUGGUGCUUGCACUAUCACUUAGCGGCGGACGGGUGAGUAAUGCUUAGGAAUCUGCCUAUUAGUGGGGGACAACAUCUCGAAAGGGAUGCUAGUACAGCAUACGUCCUAUGGGAGAAAGCGGGGGGUGACUUGUGACCUUGCGCUAAUGGAUGAGCCUAAGUCGGAUUAGCUAGUUGGUGGGGUAAAGGCCUACCAAGGCGACGAUCUGUAGCGGGUCGGAGAGGAUGAUCCGCCACACUGGGACUGGGACACGGCCCAGACUCCUACGGGCGGCAGCAGUGGGGAAUAUUGGACAAUGGGGGGAACCCUGAUCCAGCCAUGCCGCGUGUGUGAAGAAGGCCUUAUGGUUGUAAAGCACUUUAAGCGAGGAGGAGGCUCUUUUGGUUAAUACCCAAGAUGAGUGGACGUUACUCGCAGAAUAAGCACCGGCUAACUCUGUGCCAGCCGCCGCAGUAA